AUUCCGUGAUGAGGGCACUUCCGUAAUAAUUCUUUGUACCUUUCCUAUGUCUUAUACAAUGACUCAUCGUCCAUUUUUUGGAAAGCAGUGAUCUCGUUCCUGAACUU
rnacentral:snoRNA from 1 species